rnacentral:tRNA from 1 species
GACACUAUGGCCGAGUGGUUAAGGCGACAGACUCGAAUCUCAGCAGCUUUGCUCUGCUGUCCACGUGAUCUGUUGGGUUCGCCCGCACAGGUUCAAAUCCUGUUGGUGUCG